rnacentral:tRNA from 1 species
UGGGGCGUCGUCUAAGGGCAGGACAUGGGACUUUGAAUCCCAUUAUGAUGGUUCGAAUCCAUCCGCCCCAACCA